rnacentral:misc_RNA from 1 species
GAUGAAGAACGUAGCAAAAUGCGAUAAGUAAUGUGAAUUGCAGAAUUCAGUGAAUCAUCGAAUCUUUGAACGCACAUUGCGCCCGCUGGUAUUCCGGCGGGCAUGCCUGUCCGAGCGUCAUUUCAACCCUCAAGCCCCCGGGUUUGGUGUUGGGGAUCGGCUCUGCCCUUCUGGGCGGUGCCGCCCCCGAAAUACAUUGGCGGUCUCGCUGCAGCCUCCAUUGCGUAGUAGCUAACACCUCGCAACUGGAACGCGGCGCGGCCAUGCCGUAAAACCCCAACUUCUGAAUGUUGACCUCGGAUCAGGUAGGAAUACCCGCUGAACUUAAGCAUAUCAAUAAGCGGAGGA